UGCAGACUAGCGACAUUGUUACUUCAGAGUGUAACAAACCUUGGCGAGUGAACGUUUCGCGUGUGUAGUGAUCAGUGAGAGCAGAAAAACAGCAAGAGAUCAGGAUGAACAGAAAAAUCGACGUGUCGGGAAACCACACAUUCUCUGAGGUGCUUCAGGCUAACGACAUAACAAAUGUACACGCCAACACUGGUGGCGCUCCUGCGACCUUUUCUGUAUAUUAUGAUCAUAAAACUGGAACAGUUGACAUUCGAAUGAAGGUAGCUUCUCAAGAACAGACGGCUAAACGUUUGAAAGAUACUUGUGAUCACAAGCCGAUUACUGGGCUGGGAAAAUGUGAGUACUUGCCGCGGACAGGAAGUAGUGUUGUGGAUGAACCUAGCAGUUACUGCCAAUUUGUGCCUCUUGACAUCAGCACACCCCAUCGGAAUGGUUCUAAAGAUUCUACACACGGGUCCGAGGACAUGCCUCUGCAUGUCAGGAAAAAUUAUUUUCUUAAGCGACACCAUGAGUCAGGAGAUGUCAUGGUUGAGGGUGGAGAUAACGUCACACCGAUUGGCCAGACGCUGGGAGAAUACCGAAAGUCCUACACAACUGCAGUCCAAGACCAUUCGGAAUGGCAGCCGAGAUCAACUAUUAGCAGCCUUAUUUCCAACAGCGCUCGCGAGGACAUCGUUGAUGAAGCGUCUAUAAGUGCAGCUCAGCGGGUUGAAAACCCUGCGGCUGAUAUACCAGACACGAGACCUCAAGAGCGUCCUAACCUAGUAAUCCCACAGAAUGAAGUUGCUUCCGCAUCUGACGUAAGGCGAGUGGACGAAUAUUUUCAACCCAUCACCAGGACGCCCACCACGUUGGAAAUUGAUGAAGACAGACAACAAACAAACGAAAUUAAUGACAGUGGGAACACAGACGGCCCUCUUAAUUUAAGCAGAAGAAAUUCAGAAGUUAUGCGACAAAAACUACUUGAAUGCGUUUCAUCUCUGUUUGGAGAUACGUAUGACAAGGACUUGAUGGAAAAUGCGAUCAGUAAUAUGAUUGAUAUAGGACAGAGUUCUCAGGACCGCGAUUGGCCCGCCUUAAUAUAACGAGAAGAUGACGGUAAAAAAACGAAAAUAAACGUCUGGGUCUGGACAACGCCGUGGGUUUUGUAUGUAGAGGGUUUUCAAGUAAUAGAUUAAUAUAAUCAGCACAGCCCAGAAGAUGAUGCGACCCAUUCAAUUCCACCCCCUCUUUGUUUUCGUGGACCUUCCUGAUGACAUAUUAUUAGGGGAAGAAGAUGCUGACAUCAAGUGGUAAACUAUCUCCUUGCUUCAGACCAUUCUCAAUAUGAAAUUUGUUAUAAAAACAUUUUCCUAUAUUUAAUUUACCAUAGGUCUGAUUUAAACACAUUUAAUUAUUCCACCUUCUUUAAUUUUUAUACAGGCUUUCUUCAAGUAUGUAAAUAUCUAAUACAUAGUAGGCCACCAUUGUCGAAAUCCACACUAUGGUUCCCAAUAAUUUCUCGAUAAUUACUACAGAUUCAUCACGCUUCUUACAAACAGGCCAAGUAACUGUUUUCUUAUUUCAAAUAAAGUAAAUCUCAGAACGCAAUGUAUUAUCCGCUGCUUGGAUCAAUUCUGUCGAAAUGUGACUAAUAACUGUUGACUUAUACACUUCAAUUGCUCAAUGAUAAUGUGAACCUCAAAGACGUAGGCUCAGGUAGUAAUGGCUCAGCUGUAUGUAUUUUAAACUACCUAACAACGUUAUAUACAAGAUAAUUCUUCAACCCGUUCAAAAUGCCGUGUAAAUCUGCAAGCAUAUCACCAUUAUCUUUUAUCAAGUUACUUCUGGGUUGAUAAAUCUUAAGAUACCGUAAGAUGUAGAGAAUUUUUUUACUAUCUACCCUACUAUAAGCUUGUCAAGAAUGACUCUCUUCCUUGGAGUGUUAUAUCAUAAGCCGCUGAAACAUAUCAUAAUCAUACCAAUAUAAAAUCUUCCACGAAAGAAAAACACUGUUAAUUUCAUGACAGCCGAAACAGUCAAAUCAUCUAAUGUAAGAUAGGUCUAUCUCUUUGAGAUCCCGAUACACACAUUUCUUCUAAAAUAUAUUGCCUUUCUGAACUGUACAGACUUCACCAAGGUGAUCUUGCUUAUUAAUUUAUAAGUAAGCCUACCUAGUUUUUCGUCAUGUCGACCAAUUUUCCUUUUGCAUUGCUUUUAAUACACUAAAGUAUUUGAUAUUCUUGGUGUUCGUGGAUUUCUUCAUAUGUAUGAGAGAUUGUUAGUCCAACACCGAGUCCUCAGUCUUGAGAACCACCCAUGUUGACUCUCUGCGGCUUCUUAAUACACUCAUCCAUUAUCUGGGGAUGGGUGGCGCUUGUCGUGGUGACAAAGAAUCCACUUUGAAUGUUAAGGGCCCAGACUCUCAUAAUCAGAUUUUUUACCAAGACGUUUUUAGGUUAUGUUGAUUGCUGUACCAACAUUGGGAGCUUCUCUGGGAACCGGGGAUUCCCAUGGGUGCAGUCAGUGUUAUGGACGUUGUCCAGAGAAUUAGAACUGCUCUCCCGCACUCUCUCGCCAUCCUGACCCAGCUGUUAACCCAUCCUGCCCAACAUGCCGCACUUUCCGAGUCUAAUAUAGCCGUUGUAACAAUGAAGGGAUUUUUUUCCGCUGUAUGUGAGCGUGUAAUUGCUUUGUGGCAUUCAGAGUUCAGUCAUAUUAUACAAUGGCCCCUGCAGCGCAGACAUUCCGUAAUGCACAUUACAGUAUGCUGUAGGGGUGUCCAAAGAUUUCGAAACCAAAACGAACACGUGGCUAAAGUGGUAAUUUAAUACCCACAGACCAUAGAUACCUGCUAUAGUUCGGUCAGCUGAUUCAGAUGUUGGCAAAAUGAGAAACUGGAAUAAAUUCUCGCAAUCCUGCGCACAAAUUCGGUACAAUUAUUAAUCUAAAGGUGUUGGUACUCAAGCUUAAAAAAUAAUAUGUAUAUAUAUAUAUAUAUACACAUUUGUAAUAUAGCGGGAUGCAAAAUAUAGUAAUGCGAGAAGAAAUUAAAACGUGAGACUGUGUUUUGACACAAAAUAUUCCAAUUUUAAAUUGUAAACUUCAGAGUUGUUGUGCGUUGUA